CUUGAAUUGCCUCCAGCUCCAGGACUAUGUUACUUGGGGAUGGCACAUCUUCUAUGUCCGAAUGAUCAUUUUCAACAUUAAACCUUGUUGGAGAUGCAUGCGUGCUAUCAAGGCUGCUAUGGUGAUAGUUGUGCAAGAGGUGUACCGGGGACAUGCCAUGUGUUGGAGUUGCUGGCCUACUUGUAAAGGGUGUAGUACUCUCAGAAUGAUUGAUAUGCUUAGUGUUCUUUUUGGCUGUGCGGUGCCAAUUUUUCAAUGCUGUUGCCA